ACCCUACCCAUCAGAGGGGGAUAACACUUGGAAACAGGUGCUAAUACCGCAUAACAGUUUAUGCCGCAUGGCAUAAGAGUGAAAGGCGCUUUCGGGUGUCGCUGAUGGAUGGACCCGCGGUGCAUUAGCUAGUUUGUGAGGUAACGGCUCACCAAGGCCACGAUGCAUAGCCGACCUGAGAGGGUGAUCGGCCACACUGGGACUGAGACACGGCCCAG
rnacentral:rRNA from 1 species